AGCGAACGCUGGCGGCAGGCCUAACACAUGCAAGUCGAACGGAUCCUUCGGGAUUAGUGGCGGACGGGUGAGUAACACGUGGGAACGUGCCCUUUGGUUCGGAACAACUCAGGGAAACUUGAGCUAAUACCGGAUGUGCCCUUCGGGGGAAAGAUUUAUCGCCAUUGGAGCGGCCCGCGUCUGAUUAGCUAGUUGGUGAGGUAACGGCCCACCAAGGCGACGAUCAGUAGCUGGUCUGAGAGGAUGAUCAGCCACACUGGGACUGAGACACGGCCCAGACUCCUACGGGAGGCAGCAGUGGGGAAUCUUGCGCAAUGGGCGAAAGCCUGACGCAGCCAUGCCGCGUGAAUGAUGAAGGUCUUAGGACUGUAAAAUUCUUUCAGCGGGGACGAUAAUGACGGUACCCGCAGAAGAAGCUCCGGCUAACUUCGUG
rnacentral:rRNA from 1 species